rnacentral:rRNA from 1 species
UACGUAGGGUGCGAGCGUUGUCCGGAAUUACUGGGCGUAAAGAGUUCGUAGGCGGUUUGUCGCGUCGUUCGUGAAAAACUUGGGGGCUUAACUCCAAGCGUGCGGGCGAUACGGGGCAGACUUGAGUACUACAGGGGAGACUGGAAUUCCUGGUGUAGCGGUGAAAUGCGCAGAUAUCAGGAGGAACACCGGUGGCGAAGGCGGGACUCUGGGCCGAUACUGACGCUGAGGAGCGAAAGCGUGGGGAGCGAACAGG